rnacentral:rRNA from 1 species
CCUACGGGAGGCUGCAGUGAGGAAUAUUGGUCAAUGGACGAGAGUCUGAACCAGCCAAGUAGCGUGAAGGAUGACUGCCCUAUGGGUUGUAAACUUCUUUUAUAUGGGAAUAAAACGUUCCACGUGUGGGAUUUUGUAUGUACCAUAUGAAUAAGGAUCGGCUAACUCCGCGCCAGCAGCCGCGGUAAUACGGAGGAGCCGAGCGUUAUCCGGAUUUAUUGGGCUUAGAGGGAGCGUAGGUGGAUUGUUAAGUCAGUUGUGAAAGUUUGCGGCUCAACCGUAAAAUUGCAGUUGAAACUGGCAGUCUUGAGUACAGUAGAGGUGUGCGGAAUUCGUGGUGUAGCGGUGAAAUGCUUAGAUAUCACGAAGAACUCCGAUUGCGAAGGCAGUUCACUGGACUGCAACUGACACUGAGGCUCGAAAGUGUGGGUAUCAAACAGGAUUAGAUACCCUGGUAGUC